rnacentral:rRNA from 1 species
UACGUAGGGUGCGAGCGUUGUCCGGAAUUACUGGGCGUAAAGAGCUCGUAGGUGGUUUGUCGCGUUGUUCGUGAAAACCGGGGGCUUAACCCUCGGCGUGCGGGCGAUACGGGCAGACUGGAGUACUGCAGGGGAGACUGGAAUUCCUGGUGUAGCGGUGGAAUGCGCAGAUAUCAGGAGGAACACCCGUAGCGAAGGCGGCACUCUGGGCCGAUACUGACACUGAGGAGCGAAAGCGUGGGGAGCGAACAGG